GGUUGUUCGCUGAAGGGGGAAAUACAACCUUCAUAUCUUCAUAUUCCGAUCUGGCAAUCACAUAUGAACGGUACCUCUUUCUCUCUCUCACGCCGGAAAAGUGCACUUGGAGAAUAAUUUCUUUAGUUCACUUGCAUAGAAAUCGGAAGAAGCAGAAGGAAUUUCUUCUUCAGGAUUGCUGCUCCUUACAUGGUAUAAGAUCAUCAAGUAUCAGUCAGAAUAAUGAGAUGGAAGUAGUACAAUGAUGAUCCAUUGUUAAUUCAAAUCUCAGACAGCCAGGGAUAAUAUUGGUUACCAUACGUUCACUCGUGAAAACUACCUAUCCUGGAAUCGAUUGAUGAGGAUGGUGCUUCAGGAGAAACUAAAAGUAGGGUUCAUGGAUGACACCUAGAAGUGCCCGAAAGAUCCGGCGAUGCAGGUUCAAUGGGAACGCAUAAACUGCCUGGUCAGAAUUUUUCGUAUACGCGACGACAGUGGACUGCUUCUGGAAGGAAAUUAGAGAAGGGUACCAAGUUCAUAAUGGACCUCUGGCUUUUAAAAUACAAAGGAACAUGUUAAGGAAGGUACUACUAAGCUUGGGAAAUAUUUUUCUAUGUAUUAAUGACUUUGGGAUUAUCUACAGUUGGUUGCCUAUUCUUGUGUGUAAGUGUGCAUAUCGGAUUGUGUACAUGUAAUCUGACAAAAUUACAGGAAAAUAUGGCUAUACCACUAGAUUUCAGUGAUGACACAAUUAAGGAAGAUGGUUUAAGAGGCAAUUGGGAAGCAACUAGUCCCUGACUAGGAAGGAGUUGCUGAAGAUAAUGAGAGAAGGCAAAAUAUGAAAUGACCAAAAUUUCUCAGGUAAGCUUACUGAACCACUGAAGUUGGAAUAAAAAGUCAAUUUUGACAAGAAUGAAAUCUUUAAUUACUGGAAGUUUCAAUGUUAGGCAGAUUAUUGGAAGCUGCAAUGCUGAAACCAACAAUGUUAGGCAUAUUAACCAUAAUUGGAUUUUAGAUACAGGGGCAAAUGCACAUAUAUGUUAUGACAUUAAGAUGAUGACACACUUGGAUGGUAUAUCUAGUCAAAGUACUUAUAAGGCUAGACUUAGGUGAGAACAGAGAAUCAUCAGAGUAUUUGCAGUGGACAUUUCAUUGACCCCAAACAUCUACAUGAAUUAAAUCAAAACAUGCUGAAGUUUUUGAUUAUCUUAAAUGAAAAUGCAGUAUGUGUUGUUUUAUCUUUGGACAAUAUUCACAAUGAGUUACAUCACAAUUCAAAUCUGGGUGAAAACAUUUCAAGAUAGAAUUUGAGGGAUGACCUAAUCUUCUAUGACAUAUUUUUUAUUCCACAAGGGUUUAUUCCUUAGAGGAGGCUAGUAUGACAACUCACAACAACCAUGUCCCCCACUUUAAUCGGGACAUUGUUAGGGGGAAUCAAACCUAAGACGGACCUCUUAAGUAAAGACCUUGUCCACUUGAGCUACCUUGGUAGGUUAUCUUCUAUAACAUUUUUUGUUGGGUUAUCUUCUAUAACAUUUUUUGAUAAAUGGAAAAGAGAACACAAUUGUACUUGUAAAGAAAGUAUGGAAUCAAGCUUCCAGUCUUAAUUCUUCAAGACUCUUAAGGUUCUUCAAGACAAAUUGUUUAGCAUAAAAGAUGCAUCGACCUUCUGAUUCAAUAAGUUUUGAAACUAUCACAUUAUACUCAAAAUCUGGCACUAACAAAACAUUUUUCAACUAAAACUUUUCGAGUUGAGCUGACAUUUCCAAUUUUGCUAAUUAAUUUCGAAGUUCUGUCAGUAAACAUAAUUGUUUGUUCCCUUUUAUGUCGUGCAUGUGUCAUGAUUUUGAUAUUAAAACAUAUCUGUGAGUUAGCUCCGGUUCAAUAAUCCAGUCAUUUUUUGUUUACAGGGUUUGAUUUAACAAAACAGACACCAACAAAUAUGAAUUUUUCAUUCAAAAUAGGGUCAAGAAUAAAAGCUUACUAGUUUAGUAAGGUUACCCGCCAACUCUUGCUUUUUUAUCUUUUUGUCUUUCAUCAAUUUGACAAGCUCUCUCAUGGCUAUUUGACAAGCUUGCCUCAUUAGUUCUUCAUUUAGAUUGAGUGGGGUAUCAAAUUUUUACCGUGGCUUUGUCUCUGUUUUCUCUCCUUCCUUUAAACGGAGCUUGAAGAAACCAUGUUGGUAAUGACCCUCCAUUUUAUGGUGGUUGCACUAGAGGCUCCUUUUGUUUUUCUUGAAGUUGCUCAAUCGACUUUUAUUGAAAGGCCAAGUUUGUACCCUUACCGGAUACAUUCUCAUUCGUAUUCUGGGAUCGGACUUUCUCUUGCUUCUCAACGCUAAGUAACAUUGUAAGAACUAGUAGUAGGUGAAGGUCCAUAACCAAGAUAUGUGCCCUUGUGUGUUCAUGUGUGUUUCUUAGUUCAUUUAAGAACUAGAUUAGCCUAUUGAUUUUUUUUGUCAAUCUUGUCAGUUCUUAUGUAAUUGUGAAGUGACAAUAUUGACAAAGAAAAUGGAUGAAUUUAAUAGGCUCAUUCAGUUCUUAAAUGGACUGAGACCUAUAAACAUAUAAGAGAAAAAAAUCUUGAAGAUGGAUCCUUCGCCGCUACAGUCAGAGCCUUCAUGAUGUUGUUGAGCGUGGAAAAGUAUAAAGAAGUUCAAUCAAACAACAGGAAUGAGAAUGUUUCCAUGGUGGUUAAAGAAAGACAAGACUUCAAGACGAUGAAUCUGACGUGAUCAAAUAACUUCAAUAAGAAUAAAAAUAAUUUGUGAUAACAUUAAAAAAUAAAAAAUAAAAAUAGUUUGUGUUGUAACCAUGGUAAAACAGAGGUUCAUAACCAUGAUGAGUGUUUCAAACUCAUUGGCUCUACUGAUUGGAUCAAAGGAGCGAGUGAUAACAAGGGAAAGAACAACACGGGGAAAGCUGCUUUGUCAAAUGCAUAAAUACAAGCCAGGAGCAAACUUGUUAAUUGUUGAAGGAUAAGAGGACCAAACAAUAAAAAUUUGCAGGUAAAAACACUAAAUCUGCAAGCAUGACAACAACGGUUUUGAACUACAAUGGAUAUAUUAGUUUUUGAAAGAUUCAGAAGUAGAAGUAACACUCCCCAUUCCACCUUGGUGUGACAACAAAACGUCCAUACAGAUUACUCCUAAUCCAAUUUUUCAAGAAUAAGGCAUUUAGAUAUAGAUUGUCAUAUAGUUCGAGACCCGUUCAAGUUGGGAUUCACGAUCCGAAACAUAUUUAUUCAAAAUAUCAAUUGACAUCUAGAUUUCGAGAAGGAUAGUUCUUAUGUCAAUCUUGACAUACUUCUAUACCAAAUUGUUGAAGGACCACACUUUCAUAGAUAAAUUUGAGAAACAUUCACAAGAUUUCAUCUUGAAGAAGGAAUGUUAGAAUUGUGAUGUGAAAUUUAGUUUAAGAUGUAAUUUUAACAAUUAGAAAAGUUGAAUGAUUAGUUUGCACUUUUAUGUUAACAGUAUAAGUCGGUCUUCAAUCUUCAGUGUAAGACAAAACUCUUCUUGUAAUAUUUCCCUGCUUCUUUUUGUUGUUCUUUCAUUUCUUGUUUAGUAUCGAACUCACUCAUGGGUCAUCAAGAAGAUCGAGCUCAUUCAAUUUACUCAAUUCAAAAUUAUGACUUUACCUGAAUAUGAUUUGUUCUAUAAGUUUUGUGCAUAUAUAUUCUUGAUAUAUAUAGAUACUUUUGGGUAUCUAAUGUUUUAAUUUUUGUACUUUUUUAGAAGGAUGCAGAACGAAAACAGACACGGGCAUAUAGAUACUAUAACCAUCAAAUACUUUAGAUUUGCUUAUCAAACUUGUCUUUGUCCCCAGCUUUUGGGUUUGUCUCUGAUUACGACAGGGCCUUCUUUAUCUUGUUAUGAUGGCAAUCAUUUGCCUAAUCCAUUUGUAUAACAAAGUAUUGUAAGUGCUCUGCAAUAUAUGACUUUCAGUCAUGUUGAAUUGGAGAGUUUAUGCAGUCACUAACUAUGGUCUCAUUAAUAGUGGUCAGCCGCUUCUACAUUAUCUUCGGCACACUCAUUAGCAUGGACUUCUUCUUCGUCCAACCUCAUCCCAUACUCUUACUAUCUAUUCAAAAUAGACGGGUUUCAUAAAGAUCGCCAAUCCACCACCGGUUAUUGUAUCUUCUUAGCAGACAAUGACCCCAUUUGAAAACACUUUUUAUUUAUGCUUUUUCUGGACCUGGAUCUAGAUACAAAAUUGUUUGGAAACUAAACUUAGCUAGAGACUGAUUCAACAAGUGUUUCUCUCUAAAUAGGGACAAAUUUAUCGCCAAGAAUUACAAGAAACAACAUGUGGUUGCUAGAUCAAGCAUCCUAGUAUAGGUCUCACGACCACACAAUUGUUGAACUUUCUUGGCUCCAAUCUUUGUUAGGUGGGCUACACGUUACUUUGGGCAAUGGGGGCUGGUCCUUUUUGUGAACAUUUCUUUUGGCCAAUCUUGUGUUUCAUACUCAUACAAAAUCUAUCGAGAUAGAAUUUCAUUUUGUGCAUGAAAAGGGAUGCAAAGAAAGCUAUAAUCAUUCAGUAUAUAACUCAAUUGUGGAUCCGAAUCUUGUUAAAGAUGUUGAAGCCACAUCUUCUAAUUCCAAGUCUCUGCUUUUUAUAAUCAUAUGAAGUUUCUCUCUGCCUUCAACAUCUUUGUUGAAACGUUUUUCUUUUGGUCCUUGAAAUUGAUUAGUCGAUUAUGCUGACAAUAGCAAUGAUUGAGCUUCUGCGUCUCUGACUUAAAAAUCCAGGAUGGGCCAGUAAGAAUAUGCCUUCACAUGUAUGUUGACAAUGGUAGUAGAAGGGGCUGCCACUAAAACUGGAGAACUCUUACACUCCUUAUCUCUUCUUUCUGUAUCUCUACAUAUAGAUAGCUGGUCCAGGCUUCUAAUAGUCUCAUUUUUAUCCAUUUGGCAGGAAUGUGCCAAAUUUCAUCCCUUUCGUAGAGAAUAUUGGAAGAAAAAUGUCUCUGUCCUCUUUUUUUUCAACUUAAAAUGUCCUUUGGCACGCUGCCUUAUCUGAAAAUUUAUUCUCCACCAAUUCACACUUUCUAUAAUCAUGAGCUAAUUUUUAUGAAAAUCUAAUUUUCUGAUUGAAACAUUUCAAAUUAGAAUAUACACAUAUAUUUUAAUAGUUUCAGAGGGCACACAUGAUUUCCUGACACGUGGUACAUUCGGGAACAAUUAGUAAUGUUGGCUGAAUGUAGAGGACAAUUUGAUGUUGCUAUAUUCACAAUCAUUGCAGAAGAAGCAGAAGAUGAAAAAGCAAUAUGGUAUAGAAUGUGACAUCUCCCAGAAAGCCAGAACAAAAAAGAAUGGGAUGGAGGACAAUCCCUUUUUUAGUGUUCUGGCAGAGCAUUGAAAGAACUGAGAGGGGACCAGCCUACUUGUUAGUGGGAUCUCACUUCAUGAUUGGUUGAAGGACAAGAUUCCAAUUUCCUUUUUUCUUCUACAACUAUUCACAACUAGUUUUAACCUCUGCUCACAUCUAGAUCCAACUGCCACCGGACCAGAUUGCCUCAAUGAGCUUCAGUGUUGCUUCUUCUUCUGUUCAUAGAUGGGAACUACUAAAAGAGAAUAAAUAUGCUGCAAGAAAGCUAGAGAGAAAGGUAUGUGUCUUAUUCUAUAAAUUCUCUCCAUCUUUUUAUUCUAGUAGAAAGAUAUUUUUGUGGGGUUGUUUAUAAUCUUUUUCUUUUAUUCUUUAAUUUUUUUUUUUUUUUUAACUUUUCAUGCUCAUGCAUCGAUUCCCUCUACCCCAUAUCUGAAAUUCAAGAGCUUGUUUGAUUUAUGAAAAAGUAGAUUAAUUGGGUCAAGGGGUAAUUUGGUAAUCAAGCAUUCAAUUUUGAAGUUAUUUUUUUGGCUAGAAACUAUGAAUGAAAUGCUACUACAUAUUAUAGGGGAAUGGUUAUAGUUUUGGAUGAAGUGAAUGGAAUUGAUAUCUAAAACAUUUGUAGGAGACACUAGCUAUACAUGAUUGUGUGUUGAUAUUUGAUAUGAAAAGACCUAGGAUCAUUUGAUAGGUGACUUAGUAGGACCUUGUAAUAGAAACCCAGAGAACCUACCCCAUUUUGUUGUAAGAAAAAGAAAAGAAAAAUUAUGGUUUGGUUUUGUGAUUUGGCCAACCCAUAAGAUCUUUGAUGCAUUUAGUCCAAUUUGUGUUGUCUUUGUGUUUGUACAUGACUGGCCAAAUUACCCAUGAAUAGGAGAUGAUAAUUGGGCAGUUAGUGCUGGACAAGUUUAUAUUAUCAUAAUUAUAAUUAAUAAUUAAAAAAAUUGAAGUAAUAAAAAGAAAGAUAUAUAAAUGUACCGAACUCAGUCAAACUAAAAGGAUCCAAUUGGUCCCCAUAGAGACACGUAUUGAAAUACUCCUCCCCAUUUACUUGGGAUUGAUUUAGUUAGAUUAUUUCUUUUCAUGGAAAUGAUGAGGUGGA